ensembl:lncRNA
GUCUCAGUUAGUGAGGUCAGUCAUGUUUUGGAGAGGAAUAGUGACUCCAAUGACUGCUGGGGCUUGUGUCACAUCUGAGAUGUGAAAGAGACAGAGUGGGAGGGUGAAGAGAUGGGGUCAGAGAGAGGUAGCGAGAGAGAGGUAGAGAGAGAGCCAGAGGUAGAGAGAAAGAGGGGUAGAGAGGUAGAGAGAGCCAGAGAGAGGUGGAGAGAACUGUAGAGAGAGAGCCAGAGGGAGGUAGAGAGAACUGUAGAGAGAGAGCCAGAGGGAGAGAGAGAGCCAGAGGGAGAGAGAGCCAGAGGGAGAGAGAGAGAGCCAGAGGGAGAGAGAGAGAGAGAGCCAGAGAGAGAGCCAGAGGGAGAGAGAGAGCCAGAGGG